rnacentral:lncRNA from 1 species
UGGCGCAUUCUUCCUGAAUUCCAUUUGUUUCUUUGCAACAGUCCUUUAAUUUUUGUGUGCUGGACAUGGAGCUAAUAAUGACAGUUUGAGCACAGUUGGCCUCCUGUGUGAGAACAAAGCGGAGCUUAUCGGCAUUAACAAAGAUGGUUAGAAGUGUAAUCAGCCUUUCUCCAAAAUUCUGCAUUUCCCACUGGAAAUAAACUCCAAGGACACUGUAGGAGUUAGACAGCUUGUGACAUAGCAUCGUAAGUUUGCACAUGUGUUAUUUCUUCAGGACACUGAUUCGUUGCUUCUGCUUUAUUUUCCUUUCCUAUAAAAUGCAGUACAGAAAUAUACUCAAGGUAUUAGGAGUUAGGAUGUCUUGUAAAGUCCUUGAAUGAUAUCCUGUUCCCUGUAUGACCAUCUCCUGGUUUUCUACAGCUCCUUGCCCCUUAGAACAGCAUCUUGGCCAGCAGCUCCUGGUCAGAAGCCUGCGUUCCCAGAGGCAGUUCGUGUGAGGUGAAUCACACUGGAAUUUUAAAAUCCAUCCUUCCUGCCAUUCAUCUCUUUGACUCCAGAUUGGCUGAUUCAUAAGAACUUCACUACAGACAAUUUCUGCUUCUUGGCUUUUCUUAAAGUGUCUUUUAAAGUUUAAAUUGAUUGACUCACCGUUUUAGGUACCUUAAGGAGGAAGAUAGCCUUGCUGUGUCCAAUUUACAUUAUUCCUGAAAUUUUUAUCAGGCUUAUACCCCUGAUGGAGGUAUGAGUACAUAAUAAAUUGUUGUUUAACCAAGAGGAAAACGAAAAAUGUCUUCUGAACAGAAUAUAUUACUUUCCUCCUUUGUGCUUUUGCAUAUAUUUUUCCUUUCCCUGGGCUGGAUGACCCCAUUCUUCACCUAACUUGGACUUCAAGAUUGAGUACAGAGACUUGCUCUGAACUGAAUUUAGGCCAUAACAAAAUCCAUAGCUGUGAUCUUUCUUCUCUUUGCUUUGAAAUUCAAUGGCUAUUGAUUCAGUCAUCCUAUCAGUAAUGGCCAGCCUGUAGGGAAACCUGUGCAAAGUACAUCUGCAUGGAUAGUCUCACUUAAUCUUCACAAGAGUCACUGGGGUGGGGGCGCUUUUAAACAUUUCACUUUUCAGCCCCAUCUGAAACCGGUCGUGUCUGCAGGUGAGUCCUUGAGAUUAGCAUGCUAUGAGUCUCUGUGCAAUAUUAAUGUGCACCCAAGACUGAGAAUCUCUGAAUCAAAGAGUCCAUUUUAGUCCAUUUCAGGGAGCAAAAUAUAAGACUUCUGGGGACUUAAUGAGCUGAGAGAACCUGUAGGAGAUUUAAAGGUAGUUCAGGGUCUCUCUUCCCCUGUUGGUGCUCUGCCCUCCCUUCUCAGGUUGCUCCUCCUCCC